UAAGCUAAGAAUCAAAGGAAGAAAAAAGACAUGAAAGAACUUGCAGGAGUUGAACUACAUUCAUCCACUUUCAAACAACAACUUUUCUGCUAUUUUUCUUCUCUUUUAUCUUCUUUUUUUCUCUUUUUUUUUUCUUUUUCAGAAGGAAAACAUAAUGACAUCCUUCUUUGCUCUUCCCACUUUUUUCUAUUUUUUUCUUCGUUUCCUACAUAUAUAGUUUUU
rnacentral:lncRNA from 1 species